GUCAAAUCUGAAUCAAACUAAGAAAUAAGUUAAAACUUUCAACAACGGAUCUCUUGGUUCUGGCAUCGAUGAAGAACGCAGCGAAAUGCGAUAAGUAAUGUGAAUUGCAGAAUUCAGUGAAUCAUCGAAUCUUUGAACGCACAUUGCGCCCAUUAGUAUUCUAGUGGGCAUGCCUGUUCGAGCGUCAUUUCAACCCUUAAGCCUAGCUUAGUGUUGGGAGACUGCCUAAUACGCAGCUCCUCAAAACCAGUGGCGGAGUCUGUUCGUGCUCUGAGCGUAGUAAUUUUUUAUCUCGCUUCUGCAAGCCGGCCAGACGACAGCCAUAAACCGCACCCUCUCGGGGGGCACUUUUUUAAUGGUUGACCUCGGAUCAGGUAGGAAUACCCGCUGAACUUAAGCAUAUCAAUAAGCGGAGGAAAAGAAACCAACAGGGAUUGCCCUAGUAACGGCGAGUGAAGCGGCAACAGCUCAAAUUUGAAAUCUGGCCUUCUGGUCCGAAUUGUAAUUUGUAGAGGAUGCUUUUUGGUUAGGUACCCUUUCGAGUUCCUUGGAACAGGACGCCUUAGA
rnacentral:rRNA from 1 species